CCACAAAUGACAAGCUGAUACUACUGGGAGACUUCAAUGCCCACGUUGGCCAGGACCAUGAAAGAUGGAAAGGAGUGCUCAGCAAACACGGCGUGGGCAAAAUGAACAACAACAGCCUACUGCUACUCAGCAAAUGCUCAGAGUUCAAACUCACCAUCAUGAACACUGUGUUCAGAAUGGUGAACAAAUAUAAAACAACGUGGAUGCACCCAAGAUCAAAACAGUGGCAUCUCAUUGACUACAUCAUUGUACGCUGGCGAGACAUCCAGGAUGUAAAGAUCACCAGAGCCAUGAGAGGAGCUGAAUGCUGGACAGAUCACCAAUUGGUUAGAGCGACUCUUCAAAUGUGCAUUGUGUCUCGCCAUCCAAAACAAGCCCAGACAGUUCGCGCAUUUUACAACGUGAGUCGUCUUAGAGAUCCAUCUUAUUUGCAAACAUUCCAGUCCUGCCUGGACAACAAGCUGUCUGCCAAGGUACCACUCACUGGAAGCUCAACCGAGAAAUGGAACCAGUUCAGAGACGCAGUGAAGGAAACAUCAAAGGCAGUCCUAGGCCCCAAAAAACACAACCACCAGGACUGGUUUGACAAGAACAACACUGCUAUUGAAGACCUAUUGAGCAAGAAGAACAAAGCCUUUAUGGAGUGGCAAAAUAACACAAACUCUGCUCCUAAAAAGGACAGAUUCAAGUCUCUCCAAGCCACGGUGCAGCAUGAGAUCAGGAAGAUGCAAGACCGAUGGUGGGAAAAAAAGGCAGAAGAAAUCCAGCGGUUUGCUGAUAUGAAAAACUACAAACAAUUUUUCAGUGCCCUCAAGACUGUCUAUGGGCCAUUAAAACCCACCACCACUCCCUUGCUAUCCUCUGACGGUGACACUCUCAUAAAAGAUAAAAAAGUCAUCAGCAACAGGUGGAAAGAACACUUCGGUCAGCUUCUCAACCGACCCUCUUCUGUCGACCAAAGCACCCUUGACCAGAUCCCCCAAAACCACUCCACUGAACAACUUGAUGACCC
rnacentral:lncRNA from 1 species